GUAUGAAUGGCCACACGAGGGCUUUACUGUCUCUUACUUCCAAUCCGUGAAAUUGACCUUCCCGUGAAGAGGCGGGAAUACAACAAUAAGACGAGAAGACCCUAUGGAGCUUUAAUUAACCGACCCAAAGAGACCCUACUAAUUAACCGACAGGAACAACAAAUCUCUACCAUGGGCCGACAAUUUAGGUUGGGGUGACCUCGGAGAAUAAAGCAACCUCCGAGUGAUUUAAAUCUAGACUAACCAGUCGAAAGUAUUACAUCACUUAUUGAUCCAAAAACUUGAUCAACGGAACAAGUUACCCUAGGGAUAACAGCGCAAUCCUAUUUUAGAGUCCAUAUCGACAAUAGGGUUUACGACCUCCAUGUUGGA
rnacentral:rRNA from 1 species